CAGCCGCCGCGGUAAUACCGAGGGUGCGAGCGUUAAUCGGAUUUACUGGGCGUAAAGCGUGCGUAGGCGGCUUUUUAAGUCGGAUGUGAAAUCCCUGAGCUUAACUUAGGAAUUGCAUUCGAUACUGGGAAGCUAAAGUAUGGGAGAGGAUGGUAGAAUUCCAGGUGUAGCGGUGAAAUGCGUAGAGAUCUGGAGGAAUACCGAUGGCGAAGGCAGCCAUCUGGCCUAAUACUGACGCUGAGGUACGAAAGCAUGGGGAGCAAACAGGAUUAGAUACCCGCGUAGUCCCUGUCUCUUAUAC
rnacentral:rRNA from 1 species